AGAACUAUUCUUUGGUUGAUAGACAGGUGGAUUUUCAGAGAUAGCAAUAAGCUUCCUCGGAAAUUGCCAUUUUUUGGGGUUCUUCCAGCUGUGCUUUUCACUUACAAUAAGCUUCAUGAUGCCAUUGUGGAGCAUCUGCAGAUGAUUGGAAGGACAAGCUACUUGAUAAAGCUCCCAUGGUUUGUGAACAUGGAUAUUGUCGGCACGGUUGAUCCUGAUGAUGUAUACCAUGUACUGAUCGCCAAUUUCGCCAACUAUCCAAAAGGGCCUGAGAUGAAACGAAUAUUUGAUGUUUUGGGUGAUGGAAUAUUCACCUCGGAUUUCGAUCCUUGGAAGAAUCAGAGAAAGCUUGCUAGGUUGUUGAUCAAUCAUCAGAGGUUCCAGAAGUUUAUGGUGAAAACCAACUGGGAUAAAGUUGAGCUAGGGCUGAUUCCAGUUCUUGAGCAUUUUGCUGAAAAUAGCCAGAUUGUGGACUUGCAAGAUGUGUUCCAGAGAUUGACUUUUGAUACAACUUCAAAAUUCAUCACGGGUUACGAUCCUGGAUGCCUCGCUGUUGAUUUCCCAGAGGUCGAAUUCGCCAAGGCUAUGGAUGAAGUUGAAGAAGCAAUAGUCAUGCGCUAUUUCUUGCCUGAAAAUGUUCUGAAGUUCCUGAGUUUUGUUGGGAUUGGACGAAUGAAGACAACGAGUAAAGCUUACGCAACAUUGGAUCAAGCAGUAGCCAAGUACAUCUCCAUGAAGAAGGAAGAGUUGAAGAAGGGGAACAAAUCCUAUGAAGGUGACGACAAUGGUGAAGGUUUUGAUCUCUUGACUUCAUAUGUGAAAGAAGGUGAGCGUAUGGGAAUGGUAUUUGAUGAUAAGUUCUUCAGGGACACAAUCCUCAAUCUUAUGAUUGCAGGUAGAGAUACAACUAGCUCUGGUCUCACUUGGUUUUUAUGGCUUGUUUCAACUCAUCCGGAAGUGGAAAAGAAGAUCAGAGAAGAGCUCAAAGCUUCCAUAUCACCAUCAGGAGAAGAAGAUGAAAAGUUCAGGAUUUUUAAGUUUGAUGAAAUAAAAAAUCUUGUUUAUUUACAUGCAGCACUGUGUGAAACAUUGAGGUUAUAUCCACCAGUUCCUUUUCAACACAAGACACCUCUUAAGCCAGACAUUCUUCCAAGUGGCCUACAUG
rnacentral:lncRNA from 1 species